UACAGAGGGUGCAAGCGUUAAUCGGAAUUACUGGGCGUAAAGCGCGCGUAGGCGGCUGCCUAAGUCGGGUGUGAAAGCCCCGGGCUCAACCUGGGAACUGCACUCGAUACUGGGCGGCUAGAGUAUGAGAGAGGGAGGUAGAAUUCCACGUGUAGCGGUGAAAUGCGUAGAUAUGUGGAGGAAUACCGAUGGCGAAGGCAGCCCCCUGGGGUAACACUGACGCUCAUGCACGAAAGCGUGGGGAGCAAACAGG
rnacentral:rRNA from 1 species